CACAAAAGGAGACAGGGAGGGAUGAGAGCGAAAGACACAACUUCCACCACCUUUGGGAGCGCUGGGCGGAGCGGGGUGCACAGGGGGGAGCGGGGGGGGGGCGCCCCGCUGCCUGUCCUCCUGCCCCCCCAUGCACACACCUAUUCGGGCUCGCUGACCGACCCUCUCGUGGUGUGUACGCGUGUCCUUUGCAGGGCUGCAGGUCGGCGCAGGGGCCCCUGUCCCCACCCUCGCGGGAAGGAAGCACCCCCGAACUGCAGGGCGAGGCGAGGCGAGGAGCGCUCGCUGGCCGGCGGGGAGGCGCGCCCAUGCCGAGCCGCUCCGCGCCCACCAUG
rnacentral:other from 1 species